rnacentral:rRNA from 1 species
GAUGAACGCUGGCGGCGUGCCUAAUACAUGCAAGUAGAACGCUGAAGGAGGAGCUUGCUCUUUCCGGAUGAGUUGCGAACGGGUGAGUAACGCGUAGGUAACCUGCCUGGUAGCGGGGGAUAACUAUUGGAAACGAUAGCUAAUACCGCAUAACAGUAGAUAUUGCAUGAUAUUUGCUUGAAAGGGGCAAUUGCUCCACUACCAGAUGGACCUGCGUUGUAUUAGCUAGUUGGUGAGGUAACGGCUCACCAAGGCGACGAUACAUAGCAGACCUGAGAGGGUGAUCGGCCACACUGGGACUGAGACACGGCCCAGACUCCUACGGGAGGCAGCAGUAGGGAAUCUUCGGCAAUGGACGGAAGUCUGACCGAGCAACGCCGCGUGAGUGAAGAAGGUUUUCGGAUCGUAAAGCUCUGUUGUAAGAGAAGAACGAGUGUGAGAGUGGAAAGUUCACACUGUGACGGUAUCUUACCAGAAAGGGACGGCUAACUACGUG